rnacentral:rRNA from 1 species
CAGCCGCCGCGGGAAUACGUAGGGUGCAAGCGUUAAUCGGAAUUACUGGGCGCAAAGCGUGCGCAGGCGGUUCGUUAAGACAGAUGUGAAACCCCCGGGCUUAACCUGGGAACUGCAUUUGUGACUGGCGGGCUAGAGUAUGGCAGAGGGGGGUAGAAUUCCACGUGUAGCAGUGAAAUGCGUAGAGAUGUGGAGGAAUACCGAUGGCGUAGGCAGCCCCCUGGGCCAAUACUGACGCUGAGGCUCGAAAGCCAGGGGAGCGAACGGGAUUAGAUACCCGAGUAGUCCCUGUCUCUUAUAA